rnacentral:lncRNA from 1 species
CAAGUACAGUGUAAUAGUAUUAUUGUUAUUAAUAGAAUGGAAACAACAAGGGGAGAGAGAUGGAACCAAAAGGGGAAAGAAAACACCAACAGCGAGCAGUGAUGCCCAAUACAAUUGCUGAGCACCCGCUGCGAGGCACGCAGCCCGACCCAAGCAGCGACCCGUCCCUUCUCAGUGACUCCCCCAGUUUCUAUGGCCUGAGGUGUCAUGGGCCGACCAGGCUGAAAAGCAUCUAUAUUAGAAGUGUAUAAUUUAUAAUAGUAAUAUAUAUAUUGCAUAAUCAUAUCUAUUAUUAUAAUACAUAAUAAUUUUAAUUAUAUAUAACUUAUUAUAAAAAUAAGUGAGCGUUAGAGUUAGGGUCAGGAACAGGGGUUUCACUCAGGGAUGGGGUUUCAGAUUUAGGGUUAGGGAUUGAUUUAGGCCACAGCAUCAUGGCAGGGAGGGGACAAGGACAUGAGGAGUAUGGGGGAUACCAGUGGUAUUUUGGGGGCUCUGGGGAUGUUUUAGGGUGUCCAUCGGGUUUUGUGGGGGUGGGUUGGGGGUUUUUUUGAAGUGUUUCAGGGAUGAUUCUGGGUGCUAUGGGGCUGGUUUAGAGUGGUCCACUAGAGCAGGUUGCUCCAAGCCCCUGUGUCAACCUGGCCUUGAACACUGCCAGGAAUGGGGCAGCCACAGCUUCUCUGGGCACCCUGUGCCAGUGUCCCACCACCCUCACAGGGAAGAAUUCCUUCCUAAUGUCUGAACUAAAUCUGCCCUCUUUCAGCUUAAAACCAUUCCCCGUUGUCCUGUCACUGCACACCAUUGUAAAAAGCCCCUCUCCAGAUUUCUUGUAGGCCCUGUUUAGGUAUGGGCUUAGUAAGGUCUCCCUGGAGCCUUCUCUUCUCCAGGCUGAACACCCCCAGCUCUCUCAGCCUGUCUUAAUUGGAGACGUGCUCCAGCACUUGGAGAAUCUUUAUGGCCCUUCAUAAGCCCAUCAUUGUAAGAUCAUAAGAGAACAGAGGUUGGAAGAGACCCCAGGAGGUUCAAGUCCAACCUGUCAGAAACAGGGUCAGAGCAAGUGGUUCAAGGCUUGAUUCAGUCCCACUUGGAAAACCCCAAGGCCAGAGACUGCACAGCCUCUCCGGGUGACCUGAUGCAGCACUUGCCUCAGCCUAUGGGAACAAGGUUUCCAUAUGUCCUGGCUGAACCUCUCCUCUGUCACUAUCCCCCAUUGCCUUUUGUCCUCCCCCCAGGCACCAUGGUGAGGAGCCUGGCUCUGGAUUCUCCAUGGCCUCCUUGCCCGUACAAGCAGCCAGUCCCCAAUAGCCUUCCCUUCCCAAGAUCUCAGGUCC